CAAAGUUCCCAAAGUUCACCCUCGGCCUCCUGCCCUCCCAUUAUCACAACAGGAAAGAGCCUUGACAAGGUGCCAGAAAUUAUUUCUCACCCAUAGGCUCACUUUCCCAGGUAUUUACAUCUUUUAAGACUUUCAUUCUUGCUUGUGGAAAGGGAGAUUUUGUUUAAGGUGGCUAGAUGCUAGUCAUUAGCUGGGGGCAUGGCUUUGGUGUUAAGGAGUCUCAGAAAGGAAGCUCUGGAAGUUGUUAGACCUGGAGAGAUACUGGAUUUUGUAUAUUUGGAGAGUUAGCUCUUCCUCGCAGUUUCCCUUCUGUUACGGGCUGCAUUACGUUCCUGUACCCAUUCACAUGUUGCAGUCCUAACCUCCGGUACCUUAUAGAAGGUGAGCAUAUUUGGAGAUGAGGUCUUCAAAGAGAUGAUUAGGUUAAAAUGAGGGCUUUGAGGUGGGCCCUAAUCGUAUAUGACUGGUAUCCAUACAAGAUGAGGAAAUUUCGACCUAGAGAGAGACAUACACACCAGACAUGUGUGUGCAUAGCAGAAGACCAUGUGAGGACACAGUGAGAAGACAGCCAUCUGCAAGCCAAGGACAGACGCCUCAGAGAAAACCAAACCUGCUGACAUCUUGAUCUCAGACAUUUCGCCUCCAGAAUUUUCCUUUAGGUCCUUGCUGCACCUGAGACAGCAGAGGAAGAAGCUAACAGAAGGCAAUAUCUUUUUUUUUUUUUUUUUUGAGGCAGGGUCUUGCUCUGUUGCCCAGGCUGGAGGGCAGUGGUGCAAUCUCCACUCACUGCAACCUCCACCUCCAGGGUUCAAGCAAUUCUCCCACCUCAGCGUUCCAAGUAGCUGGGACUAUACAGGCACACACCACCACACCCGGCUAAUUUUUGUAUUUUUUGAUAGAGAUGGGGUUCUACCAUGUUGGCCAGGCUGGCCUGGAGCUCCUGAACUCAAGGGAUCCGCCCCCGUCGGCCUCCCAAAGUGCUGGGAUUACAGGCAUGAGCCACCACACCUGGCCAAGAAAGCAGUAUCUGAAAGGUCUCCUGGAGGUAGCAGGGAAUGCAGUAACACAGCACUCUCCGGAUUGGUUAGCUUCUGAAGAGAAUAUCCUGGGCCUUGAUGUUUUCAAGCAUCAAUAUCCCUAAGCUGGUGUGUGUGAGAGAAGGACACGGAUUAUCCUGGAAUGAUACAUAGUGUAGAAGAACAGAGAACUCUGAUGCUGAUUACAGAAUAAAAAAGUGAGACGAGAGAAAAACCCCAAACUUGGGUUGACUGUGUAUAAGAAAUACUAAUUACAGUCAUUUCUGUGAACUGCUUACCAUUGAUAGCUAAUUAUCAUGCAGCAUAAUAACAAUUAUGUAUAUCAUUAAAUAUGUAUCAGAUUCGUUUUAUUUGAUUACAAUAAUAAACUCCAGAAACAUACAAUGUCAGGCCUAGAAGACGACCUUGGGGAUCAAUGUCUAGGUCUUUCCCUUCAUGUUUGCAGACGCUGAGGCUAGUCUGUGGCAGAUGUUUUUGGCAAUGCUGGGAUGAGAACAUGUUUGUGGCAUUCCAAGUACACUCCCCAUGGGAAACCAGCAUGAGGUUAGAGCCAGAAAUCAACAAGAAUUGCAUCCUUCCUGACUUGUAUUGAAGUGGUACCUAGCCCUGUCGCAGUUCCUGGCAGUGAUUGAACUUAUCCCGUGUAUUUGUUUGUCCUGUUUUCAGGCUGUAGUAUUAGAGUAGUUGCUCAAUAACUAGUUCUCAGAUGGAA
rnacentral:lncRNA from 1 species